GGGACAGAGUCAAAGGAGAAUGGUAAGGGGCACCUAGCUGGUCUCUAUUCAACUUACAGUGUGAUGGAGUUGUGAAAGCCGAAACAUUUUUUACUUUUAGCUUCUCGUCAAAAUCCAAAAGUUAAAACACAAUCAACUUUUAAAUUGACUUUCUAGAAGUAAAAGACGUAUUUGUAUUAGAAACGCUUUUGUUAGGGAUGUUGUUUUGGAAGGUAUUAUUACAUGUUUAUUAGUUCAAGAGCCAAUCUCACGAAGACCACACUUUUCUAACUUUUCAAAAGCGAG
rnacentral:lncRNA from 1 species